CAAAGAGUAGUUUAGCUUAGAAUACUAGCUUUGGGAGUUAGUGGUGAGGGUUAAAAUCCCUUCUCUUUGA
rnacentral:tRNA from 7 species